rnacentral:tRNA from 1 species
CUGUAGCUCAGUUGGUUAGAGCAUGGUGGUGAUAAUGCCAAGAUUGCAGGUUCAAUCCUCAUAUAGA